UACAGAGGUGGCAAGCGUUGUUCGGAAUUACUGGGCGUAAAGGGCGCGUAGGCGGUUCGUUAAGUCCUGUGUGAAAUCCCCCGGCUCAACUGGGGAACUGCACAGGAAACUAGCGGGCUUGAGUUCGGGAGAGGGAAGCGGAAUUCCGGGUGUAGCGGUGAAAUGCGUAGAUAUCCGGAGGGACACCGGUGGCGAAGGCAGCCCCCUGGGUCGACACUGACGCUCAGGCACGAAAGCGUGGGGAGCAAACAGG
rnacentral:rRNA from 1 species